UAUCUGUAAAAUUUAUAUGUAUAUAUUAUUUUUUGUUUUCUUAUUAAAAUUUUUAAGAAACCUGAUGAUGGCAGGCGUGGUCCUGCCGAAACGUCGUAAUAAAGACAUCAUUCUCUAUGAACUGCAUCUUGUCAUCACUGACUGUCGAAACCAACGAAAUUUUAAUCAUUAACGCAACCACAUUUCUAUCUCACUAUGCACGUAUAGUUCAGACUACUAUGUGGGAAUAUUGCAAUAAAAUCAAGAAUUUAUCGUUCAACGGGCCAUACCUUCAUUUGGCUGGUACUCUACUAUACGUAUAUGUAUAGUAAUUUCUAACAAUAUUACUGUAAUUUAUGUAACACCAUAAUUGUCUUCAACAAUAAAAUAUAGUAGUCACUUCCAAUCACCGUAUUUUGUAGUGAAAAUAUGGUAAAGUCAACCAUUUUGUUUGGCGAAUGAUUUAUUCCUUUAUAUUGUGAUUCUUUUCGUUGGGAUAUUUAUAAAUUCUCAUGUAUCACUUUCGUUAAUGCAGUCUUGAUUGAAAAAAAGUUAGAAGAAAAUUUAAAAAAGUUCAUCACCUUUAAUUUGGUUGAGAAUGUUUGCCAUGGGUCAUGGGAUUUUUGUGAAUUUUUUCAAGCCGAUCGGCAAAGGCGUAAUUUCUGAAUUGUGAAAAAUUCGAAACUCGCAAAUAGUUCAGUGAAUCAGAAUUUGAAAAAUGUAAAAGAAUAUUUCAGAGGAAAUAUCACUACAUAAUGAAAACUCGGCCAUUGAAACGGAGAUGACGAGGGUCUUUAAUUUGUCGAUUUCACGAAAGAAAGCCCAUAUGUAUAAGAUACACAGUUUCAAUGAGUCGGACAGUGAUAUCGAGUGAGCUAAUCUUAUUAAGGAAACAGUUAAUUGAAUGAACGGGCCUUAUGAGAUUGUAAGAUAAUAUUUUGCUAUUAUUUAAUCUCGUAUAGAGAAAUAAGGAUGAAAUGAACCUAAUUACCAUAUGUUAGCAUGUAAUUAGUUUUUAACGAUUAGCCUUACUCAUUGACUGAUACUUAAACACGAAACUAAUGUUUCGUAUUACUUAGAAUAAACUUUGGGUUAGAAAAAAAACUUUGCAUUGACGCAUUAUGAAGCCUAACACUAAUUAUUAAUAUAAGUGUUAUUUUAAUAUUCAAGGUAUUUUCAGUUUUUCCUAUCUUCAAUAUGUUCUUAUUAAUAAUCAUAAUGACUAAAAUGAUUCUCUUAAUAAAAAUUCAAUAUCACUUAUCUUGUGAUAGUCUUGUGAUAAAUCAUUCCGUGACUAAUCCAUAACGCACAUAUUGAUAUAUUUCAUCAAAAUGUAUAACUUGACUUUAUAUAUUCCGUAUACUUCUAUUACUUUAUAUUCCACACUGUUUUCUCUUUUAUAAAUCGUAUGCGCCAUGCUUACAUUAUUAGUCUUAGAAGCUACGAUCAUGGGGUGAUUUAAGUAAUCAUCACGUAUGUCACUAUGAUCUUUAGUUUAUCCUGCAAGCAAUUUAUUUGAACAAUAAAAACCAAUUUUAUAUUUCGAAGAUUGUUUUCAAAAAUUGACAGCCUGCCACCGUAUUUACAGAGGAUACACCCGAAUAUAUGGUGGUGAUCAGCAAAGUUCAAUAAAACUGUGAAAGAUAGGGUAAGAAUUAGGAAAUAUAAAAAAUUGCUUAAUUCAAUCAAAACAUAUGUUUAUUAAUUGCUGACAUAACUUACACACUAUAUUAUUAUGAUUAGAUUGCCAAAGUAAGCACACCAAGGUACCCUAAGUAGAAUUUUCAAUUGGCUCAAAUAAGGCCAUUAUCGGACUUGCCUUACUACCUGAUCAGGUAUACAUCAGGCUACCUACCUGAUCAGGGCCUGAGCAGAAAUGUAACGUGCCGUUCUAGAAUGCCUUGAACAGACUGAGUUCAGGUACCAUGGUCAGACCCUGAUUAGUCGUUGAUCAGAACUGGAUCAGGGUCUCACCAGGUGUUGAUAAGGGCAGGUUAAGAUACUACCUGAUCAGGCUCAGGCAACGAUUCUACAGAAUUUUUUAUUUUUGAAAUAACAUGAUUUAAUUUUCGUUGGGUGAAACAGUCAAUGAUGACAAGAUGCAAUUCACAAUGGAUGAUGCUUUUAUUCAUUUAUUGAGGGCUUGUCGCGGAAAAUAAAAAAUAUACUGCGCAAAGAAAACAUCAAUGUGUCAUAUAAAAUCACCAACACGUUAAAUAAUUUAUUUACAUGUUUGAAAUCAAAAACACCCGCGCUUGAACAAACUAAUAUUAUCCAUAAGAUUAACUGUAUAGAUUUUGAUAAAUGCUACAUAGGCCAAUCUUCGCAACAUUUAAAAAAAAGGAUCGCUAAGCAGAAAUAUGACAUUAAAACACAUGAUCCAGACAGAUCGGCAUUAGCGUAUCACGCAUUGGUUGAAGGACAUAAGUUCAAUUUUGAAAAUGUAAAAAUCUUAGAAAAAGAGACAAACUGGCACAAAAGGAUUGUAAAAGAAAUGAUACACGUAUCGAGAAAUAAUACUGUAAACAAAAGAACUGAUAUUGAUAAUCUAAAUCACCUCUACGCAGACAUUUUAUAAGUCGCAAAAAGCAUAUGUGUUGAAGGUCAUACAAAUAAAGUGGCAGUACAUCAACAAUCACGUAGGCAAAUAUAUGACAUUCGAAUAUUGUUGUUAUAAUUAACAUUAGGAGUGUCAAAAUAACACAUGGAUAGUCACUUCUUUCUGAAACACCAUGUAAGCAACAUCGUUAAAGCUAAAGGAUAUCUAAAGAUGUAAGUUUGCAAUAUUUUAUUUUCAUACAACAACUUAUUAAUAAUAUUUAGUAGUGGCAUUUUUGUACAAUAACGUAAUUGAAAGCUCUAUCUGUGAAAUUUGUUAUUUAUUAAAAUUUAAGAAACCUGAUGAUGGCAGGCGGAGUCCUACCGAAACGUCGAAAUAAAUGCAUCAUCCAUUGUGAA